rnacentral:rRNA from 1 species
AUUGAACGCUGGCGGCAUGCCUUACACAUGCAAGUCGAACGGCAGCACGGGAGCAAUCCUGGUGGCGAGUGGCGAACGGGUGAGUAAUAUAUCGGAACGUGCCCGGUCGUGGGGGAUAACGUAGCGAAAGCUACGCUAAUACCGCAUACGAUCUACGGAUGAAAGCGGGGGAUCGCAAGACCUCGCGCGAUUGGAGCGGCCGAUAUCAGAUUAGGUAGUUGGUGAGGUAAAGGCUCACCAAGCCGACGAUCUGUAGCUGGUCUGAGAGGACGACCAGCCACACUGGGACUGAGACACGGCCCAGACUCCUACGGGAGGCAGCAGUGGGGAAUUUUGGACAAUGGACGCAAGUCUGAUCCAGCCAUUCCGCGUGCAGGAUGAAGGCCCUCGGGUUGUAAACUGCUUUUGUACGGAACGAAAGGUUUCUAUUAAUACUAGGAGCUCAUGACGGUACCGUAAGAAUAAGCACCGGCUAACUACGUGCCAGCA